UACGGGGGGGGCAAGCGUUGUUCGGAAUUACUGGGCGUAAAAGGGCGCGUAGGCGGCUUUUCAAGUCGGGCGUGAAAUCUCCAGGCUUAACCUGGAAGGGGUCGUUCGAUACUGUUAAGCUAGAGUGUGGAAGAGGCUACUGGGAAAUUCCCAUGUGUAGCGGUGAAAUGCGUAGAUAUUGGGAGGAACACCAGUGGCGAAGGCGACUACCUGGCCUGUUCUUGACGCUGAGGCGCGAAAGCUAGGGGAGCAAAC
rnacentral:rRNA from 1 species